CUAGCCGUAAACGAUGGAUACUAGGCGUUGUGAGUAUCGACCCUCACAGUGUCGUAGCUAACGCGUUAAGUACCCCGCCUGGGGAGUACGCGCGCAAGCGUGAAACUCAAAGGAAUUGACGGGGGCCCGCACAAGCGGUGGAGUAUGUGGUUUAAUUCGAUGCAACGCGAAGAACCUUACCAGGACUUGACAUGUCGCGAAUCUCAGGGAAACUUGAGAGUGCCUUCGGGAGCGCGAACACAGGUGGUGC
rnacentral:rRNA from 1 species